rnacentral:misc_RNA from 1 species
GAUGAAGAACGUAGCGAAAUGCGAUAAGUAAUGUGAAUUGCAGAAUUCAGUGAAUCAUCGAAUCUUUGAACGCACAUUGCGCCCGCCAGUAUUCUGGCGGGCAUGCCUGUUCGAGCGUCAUUUCAACCCUCAAGCCCCAGCGGCCUGGUGUUGGGGACCGGCGACCUCGCCCGAGCCCGCCCUCCGGGGCGCGUGCCCGGUGCGUCCGCCGCCCCCGAAAUGAAUUGGCGGCCUCGUCGCGGCCUCCUCUGCGUAGUAGCACAACCUCGCAAGUGGGAGCGCGACGCGGCCACUGCCGUAAAACGCCCAACUUUUUUAGAGUUGACCUCGGAUCAGGUAGGAAUACCCGCUGAACUUAAGCAUAUCAAUAAGCGGAGGA